GGAGAGACUUUCCAAAACCCUAAAAAUAUAGGAUAGACCCCUUUGGAUGAACCCUUAGCAGCUAGCCGCCCCUAUGUUGCUCAUUCUCUAAAAAGAACAGACCCCUCCUCAAACAAGAACCCUAGCGGCGCACCCCUUCUUUCCCCUCUCUUCUCUACCUCGCCAUAUCUUUCAGAAUUGCAGAGAUCUCAGUGAUCUCAAAACAUCAGAUGAGGCAUGAUUCGACCUCUGCACUCAAGGAUCAUGAAGGUCCAGUGGUCGUUUAAACAAAUCCAUUCGAGGUCUAGACAAUAAAAGCACAAACAGACUUCAAAGACUAAAAAAAAUAGUGUCGACUCAAGCGUUUCCACCAAGAUUUGAUACAACUCCUAUUCUCUCAAAUCAGUCUCUUAUAGUGUCCGAGUAACUCAUGCACAUUGGCUAUGGAGCUUGAAGAGUUGUUUGUUGUUGCGGUUCUAUACCUUGAGUUUCAGUCUUGAACUUCAAACUUUCAUGUGGUUGUUCUUAUCUGAUUUUUGUUACUAGGUAUGUGGAUAUUCACUUAUUCUCUCUCUCGGAGCUUAUGAAUAAAAAUUCUGGUUGUUUGUACUGCAGUUAUUUAUGAUUUUAUAAAUCUAGCAUGCUAGCCAUAAACAUUGUUCAGAAUCCUGCCUUUGUUGAUCUGCGGCAUUAUUAGCUUUGUUUUAGUUAAUUGUUCAUGUCAUGCUCAUAUUCAGUGUUGUAUAUUUAGCCGUUUAGUUAUCGAAUUUAUUUUAAAGUUCUUCAAUGUUAAUUCAUGGCAUUAUCAAUCUGUUUCGGCUGAAAUAAGAACUUAAAUGGAAGGUAUGAGUUUUGUUUGGUUAUUAGUAACGCGACUGUAAUUGUAAUGAAUCAAGAGAUUUAUGGUUAGUAACGAUUCUGGCCAUUUGAUUUUAGGUGGCAUGUCGAUUUGUUGGCUAGAAAUUAAAGGAGUUUUUAGGCUUAAAAUGUUCUUCAUGCCUUAUUUUUCUAAUUAGUCACGUUCAUAAGUCUAUGGAAUAAAUUAUGGGGUCACCACAUUAACUUCAAUUCUUUGGCAAAGUUUUUUUUUUGUUUUAUAAUUUCGUGUUAAUUAAUUCACAUCACCUCUUCCACAAAGAACUUUCCAUACUUCUUAUGGCCUCACAAUAAUCUCAAAGUAAUUUAGGAAAAUAAUUCAUGAACAAUCGUAGUUUGCUUUAGGUGCGAUCAAUAAAUCAUUCUGACUAUGGGUACAGUUCCCGUGGCAUGGUCACGAUACGUAAAUUCCAUUCGGGUGUGUAUUUCAUGUGACUCAACCAUAACUUCUAACAAUAAUAAAAUAAACAUAUUGUAAAUAGCGGGUGCGUUUCACGUGGCGCGAUUCAUAAUGUGUACAAAAACAAGAGAGUGCGCGACAUCCUGACUUGUUCAAAUAAAUUCCAUAAAUAUUAAAAGAUGUUAAAAAGUUAAAAAUGCAUAAUAGGUUUUAAAUAUGUAUUAAAUCAGAUAAUUAGGUCAAGUAUUAAUUGUUAAGCGACCGUGCUAAAACCACGGAACUCGGGAGUGCCUCACACCUUCUCCUGGAUUAACAGAAUUCCUUACCCGGUCUUCUGUGUUCACGGACCGUAAAAAUAGAGUCAAUUUCCUUGAUUUGGGAUUUAAAAUAAACUGGUGACUUGGGACACCAUAAAUUAUUUCAAGUGGCGACUCUGAUUAAUUAAAUAAUCCCAUUUCGAUUAAUGUCACUUUAAUUGGAAAGAACUCCCCUAUCCCCGUGCAGGAAAAAGGGGGUAUGACACCAAUAUCAAACUCUUGAGUCACAAGUAAACUUUAUUUGUCUCAUUCAACCCAUCUGAACACAUCCCGCAUUCACAUCAUACUUAUCAUAUGGUCGUUCAACCGCUCAUCGAGAUACAAAUUCCACUCAUACGAAUACUACCAAACGCAUAAGUCCAAUCGCACAAGUUCUCACAACCGAAACUACCGAGCUUAAGCUGCGGUCUAACUCCGGCCUCAAGUCUUCUAGAUUGGCCCAUCAACAAAAUACAGAAUACUCAUCUCGAACCUCGUUCAUGAAAUCACAAGCCAGUGAUGCACAGCUAAUACUGAGCGCUCAUGUGUGCAUACGAAUGCGUGGAAGGAAUUCAAAGAGUUAUGUUUCAAGCUGAAUCAAUUCUGCAUGAUAGAAUACAAGAAAGUGAAACUUUCCUAAGGGUUCGGCAGCCUCUCAAAGAUAAGUACAAACGUCUUCGUACCGAUCCGUAAGACUCUACUAAACCUGCUCAUGACUCGUGAGACCUAUGUCACCUAAAGCUCUGAUACCAACUUGUCACGACCCAAAAUCUAACCUAUCGUGAUGGCGCCUAUCUCGAAACUAGGCAAGCCAAAAAUCUCAGUAAACCACAAUUUCUUUUUAAGUUUGAAAAUAUAAUAUUUAAAUAAAAUUCACAAAUCCUACAAAUAUCAAUACAACCACUCCCAAAACCUGGUGUCACUGAGUACAUGAGCAUCUAUCAUGAAUACAAGUCUGGAAGAAUACGGUCAUUAAUAGUCUGAGACCAAAUACAGUAAAUAAGGAGAUAGGGAAGGAGAGACAAGGUCUUUGAAACACGACAACUACCUUUAAAUCUCCGAAAAAUCAACUGUGCGAGAGAAUUAGCACCCUUUAUGUCCGAAAAUAUCUGGAUCUGCACACGAAGUGUAGGGUGUAGUAUGAGUACAACCAACUCAGCAAGUAAUAAUAAUAAAUACGGAACUGAAGAUAGUGACGAGCUACACAGUUAUAGUUUAUUUUUCAGUAAUUCCAGCAAAGAAUAAACAUGCUUUCAAAUCCAGCAUUUUAAGUCAAAUCAAUUCUAUACAGUUCAAGUUCAUGUAUUCCGGAUAUAAAAUCUUUCAAAAAAUUUCACAACAAUGACAGAUAGCAACUAACUGCAACAACAAAUAAAAAGCAAGUACAACCUCUUAGGACAACAAUCACUCACUGGGCUCCCAACCCUCAGCACUCACACUCAAUGGGUACCCGCGCUCACUGGGGGUGUACAGACUCCGGAGGGGCUCCUACAACUCAAGCGCUAUAAUCUGCACGGACAACUCACGUGCUGCACGGAUAACUCACGUGCUAUAAUAUUCCGUACGGAUAACUCACGUGCUGCACGGACAACUCACGUGCUAUAAUAUAAUAUCUCACAAUCAGGCCCUCGGCCUCACUCAGUCAUAAAUCUCUCGAGUCUCUCGGGCUAUCAAUAAUCAUGAAAUCAGCCCAAACAACAAUGAUAUGAUGCAUCAAUAAUGAAUAAUAGAGAUUGAGAUAAAAUAAACAAGUAAACUGUAACUGAGUACAAAAUAACAAUUAAGCAGCUAGUUCAACAUGUGCACGACCUCUGUGGGUCCCAACAAUACCAAUAUAUAGCCUAAACAUGGUUUCUAAGGUGGCUUACAGUCAAAUUUCCACAACACAUAGAGAGCACAUAGCUAACAAGUUAUUCAACUUUACAGUUUUUUUACGGGACAGACCAAGUAACAAUCUCCUCGGUGCACGCCCACACGCCCGUUACCUAACAUGUGCGUCACUUCCAAAGUAAUCACAUGAUACCAAAAUCUAGGGUUUCAUACCCUUAGGAUCAAAUUUAUAAUUGUUACUUAACUCAAAUCGCGAAAUUCUUUAUUCUGUAAUGGCUUUUCCUCAUGAAUUGGCUUCAAAAUGCCUCGAAUCUACCCACAAAUAAUUCAAUUUAGUCAAUAAAAUUUAUUGAAAUUAAUUCCAUAAGAAAAUGCUAAUUUUCCCUAAAAAUCCGAAAUUUAGAACAAAAAUCGCCCUUGGGGCCCACGUCUCGGAACCCGACAAAAGUUACAAAAUAUGAACGCCUAUUCAACCACGAGUCUAACCAUACAAAUUUUACUCAAAUCCGACAUCAACUCAAUCCUCAAAUCUCCAAAUUAAACCAAGAGAGUUUUCACAAUUUUACAACUUAAUUCACCAAUUAAAUGUUAAAAAUAACCAUGGAUUCGGGUAAUUUGACCAAUAUUGAGUUAAGAACACUUAUCCCGUUAUUUUUCUUGAAAAUCUCCCAAAAAUUGCCUCUUCCCGAGUUCCAAAUCGGUAAAAAUGGAAAAUUCUCAUUUUCAGAACUUAAACUCUCUGCCCAGUCAUUUUUUCUAUGCGAUCACAGUCCAAGUCCCGCGAUCGCGAAGCACAAUAUUUCCACUACCCAAAAUAACCCUAUGCCCUAUGUGAUUGCGUACAAAGUUAUGCGAUCGCGAAGACCAAAAUACACUGCCCCCAAAACUUCUCUACGCGACCGCACCAUAACACACGCGAACGCGGAGAACGAGCUUCCCAGGCCUAUGCGAUCGCGGACAGCCCACGCGUUCGCAUAGAAUAAUGGUCGCGAACCCCAACUGCCUCACAUUCUCUUCGCUAACAUGGCUUGAUCCACACGUUAGCGAUGCAUUCCUUUUUCUGAGCUACGCGAUCGCGGUCGUCCCCACCUGAUCGCAUACAACAAAUCUCAGUAGCCCCCAAUUAACUCUAUGCGAUCGCAUACCUUCUCACGCGAUCGCGUAGAAGAAAACUAGAUAUAGAUAUCAGAAAAUUCGAGCGAAAUUCCAAGUCCAAAAUUUGAUUCGUUAACCAUCCGAAACUCACCCGAGGCCUUCGAGACCUCAACCAAAUACACCAACAGGUCCUAAAACAUCAUACGAACUUAGUCGAGUCUUCAAUUCACAUCCAACAACACUAAAAAUACGAAUCAUACCCCAAUUCAAGUUUUCACAAAUAACGCUGAAACCUAUCAAAUCACGUCUGAUUGACCUCAAAUUUUAUACACAAGUCAUAAAUGACAUAACAGACCUAUUAAAAUUUUCAGAAUCAGAUUUCGACCCCGAUAUCAAAAAGUCAACCACCCGGUCAAACUUUUCAAAAAUUUGACUUUCGCCAUUUCAAGCCUAAUUCCACUACGGACCUCCAAAUAAAUUUCCAGACACGCUCCUAAGUCCAAAAUCACCAUUCGGAGCUAUUGGAAUCAUCAGAAUUCUAAUCCGAUGUCGUUUACACAUACUCGACAUUCGAUCGACUUUUCCAACUUAAGCUUUUAAUUAUGAGACUAAGUGUGUCAUUUCACUUCGAAAUCCUUCCGGACCCGAACCAACUAACUCGAUAAGUCAUAAAUCAACUGUAAGGAAUAUAUUGAGCAGUAAAUAGGGAAUGGGGCUGUGAUACUCAAAAUGACCGGUCGGGUCAUUAUAUUUAAUUGUGUCACAAAUUACUCGGUUUGAAAAUUAAAAACUUCACCGUUUAUUAACUCUGAAUGUGUCGGAUUUCUUACAGCUAACUGAAUAUUCAAUCCAGUCCCCCCACACCAAAACGCAAUCCAUUCUAUAUGAAAAAUGAAAAGGAAGGAAGCCCAACUUAAAAUAUUUUAAAGUGUGGGGUUGCUUAUCUAAAGUGUAAGUUCCUAAACCCAAAAGGGUAAAGAUCGGACCGAAAAAUAUUGAUUGUAUUUUCAUAGGGUAUGCAACAAAUAGAGGUAUAUCAAUUUCUGGUUCAUAAAUCAGAAAAUCCCGACAUUCAUAUUAAUACGGUAAUCGAAUCAAAUAAUGCUAAAUUCUUUGAGAAUAUUUAUCCGUAUAAAAAGGAAUGUGAUUCGUCUAGUUAAAUAUCUAAGCGACCUCGGGAAAAAGCAAAGGAAAGUACACCUAAUGAGGUGAAUCCAAGACGUAGUAAACGUCAAAGGACAUAUACUUCCUCUGGACCAGAUUUUCUAGCAUUCUUGUUGGAAAAUGACCAUCAAACAUUUAAAGAAGCAAUGUCUUGCUCGAAAGCACAAUGUUAGAAAGAGGUAGUCAAUAUUGAGAUAGAACCCAUAUUAAGUAAUCAUACUUGGGAAUUGGUUGAUCUUCCUCCAGGAAAUAAACCUUUGGGUUCUAAGUGAAUUUUUCAGAAGAAAAUUGUAAGCUGGUGGUAUUAUUUACAAAUAUAAGACUGAUUGCCAAAGGUUUAAGACAACGAGAAGGUCUUGAUUACUUUGACACAUACUCACCGGUAAUGAGAAAUACAUCUAAUCGGAUGGUAAUAGCGUUAGCCACCGUGCAUGGCCUUGAAAUCCAUCAGAUGGACGUAAAGACAACCUUCUUAAAUGGAGAUUUGGAGGAAGAAAUUUAUAUGGAACAACCUGAAGGGUUCGUGGUUCUUGGAAAAAAAGGAAGGUGUGUCGACUUGUUAAGUCACUUUAAGGACUAAAACAAACACCCAAAUAAUGGUAUGCGAAAUUUGACUAGAAAAUGUUGUCAAAUGAUUUUAAACUAGUGUAUUUACAUUAAGAAUACUCUAAAUUAUAUAGUCAUUAUUUGUUUAUAUAUGGAUUAUAUGUUGAUAGAAAAGGCACAUGAAAAAUGUAAAAUGUGGAGGCAUUUAGCAUAUGCAUAACAAAAGCUAAUGUUAGACGUGAUGUAUAUAUUAUCUAAAAGAACUAGAUAUGAUUCUUCGAACCCCACAAAUCCUUAGGAAAAUUGAUAUGGUAGUCGGUGAAUUCAUUACUUGUUCAGUCUUAGUGAUGACUAGUGAUGAAAUUACAAAUUCGAAAGUUGUUUAUAUGCCUUUCCAUAAAUGAUUUGUUCUUUUUUGAACAUUUAAAAUGUUUAGCUCUUUUAUGAAAGGGUGUCAUCUGGAAGGAUUUGACUUUUCAUGAAAGAUUUGUUUGUAUGUUUUGUAUAAACAUGACCAUUCAUGAACGAAUGUAUUAAGACGCUGGUCUAUAAUGAGGUGAACCAACCGGUGAACAUGAACAAAAACCAUUUCAAGUUGGAUUUGUUUCAUGAAUGAAGGUGCUACAAUUUGCAUAUCAUAUAGACGUAUGAAUAAAUAGCAUAUAAAUGCUUGAAAAUAGCUGUGUGGUUGCGAAAUGUGUUAUAUAUUAAAAGGUUGUGGCCACAACUAAUAUCAAUCAUUCCAGCUAUUGUUAUAAUAUAUUAUUGCUACAUUAAUUGUAGUCAAUAACCUGAUAUGCAAUAGAAAGUCGAGAUGUAUUGGUCUACGACAUAAGGAAGUUCACGUUGAACUGUCAUGACAAUUAAAUAAGUUUUGGGAUAUUUGAAAUAUAUCUAUGAUUAUACAUUGCACCAUAAUAAGUAUUCUACGGUUAUUGAGGGGUAUAGUGAUGCAAAUUGGAUCACCGAAAUAACCUAAAUUAAAUCCACAAGUAGAUAUAUUUUUAUAAUCUGUGGAGGAGCAGUGUCUUGGAAAUUAUCCAAAUAAUUGUACAUUGCCGCUCUACAAUGGAGGCUGAGUUUAUAGCCUUAGACAAGGCCGGUGAAGAAGUUGAAUGUCUUAUAAAAUUUCUUGAAGAAAUUUCAUCUUAGCCCAAAAUAUUGACACCUAUAUACAUACAUUGCGAUGGUCAACGGGCAAUAGGAAGCGCUGGGAGCAUUAUGUAUAACGAAAAAUCUUGUCAUAUACGACGAAGACAUAAAACCGUUAGAAAACUACUCUCUAGGGGAAUUAUCAUAAUUGACUAUGUGAAGUCAAGUGAUAGUGUGUCGGAUCCACUUACAAAAGGCCUAACUAGAGAGGUAGUUAAAAGAUCAUCGAGGGGAAAGGAACUAUGGUCGAGAACAAGUCAUAGUGGCGGUAACUCUUCCUAGAAGACUGGAGAUCCCAAGAUCUAGGUUCAAGGAGCUCAAACAAAGUCAUUAAUGACGGUUCAACAUUGUCAAAUAAUAUUUCUUUUUGAUUCAUUCUCGUGAUGAGACAAUGUUCAGUACCAAGAAUAAAGCGUUAAGACUUUUUAAUGAUUUCUAAAUUUCGUACGAGGUAUAUCAAAUAGUAUAUCUACGGUAUAACACGUUUAGGAAUCACCUAUGUAAGUGUGAAGUGUAAUCCGCUUCAAGGAGAAUUCUAUAAGGCCAGUUUUCUACGCACUUAUGAACCAGGUAGUGUUCAUGGCUGAAAUGAACACAACAAUGAGAACCAAAGACGGUUAAGGGUUGAUUGUGUGACUUAUGGAUGUCUAGGUAUACAUCAAAGCUCGAUGGUUCAAAGAUAUCAAAUCUAUCGAUUGACCGAGUAUAUCCAACAUAAGCUCACUACAAAAAAUUCAAAGAGAAACCUACUUAUCCAGAUGCGAUUAAUCCUUACUUGCGAAUCACAUAAGUUUUUUGCAUGUUUUUUGAACAUAUUGUCAUUCCCCAUUCAUGUGGGGUAUUGUUAGGUUUCGUGAAUGGGAAAUGAAAGAGGCACCUUUUGAAUUGUACAUCUUCAUCUCACCCUUUCAUUGUCGAUAAAUUUAGAAGCAUAGCCUCAUUUUUCAGAUAUAGAAAAUCUGAAAAUUUCUCCCCUCUUUUAUAUAUUAUUGCAUUGUUUUUCGAAAUAAAUAAAAUGUCAAGUGUGAUUUGCUCCGUUUGUUGAGUUCGCUGAAGUUCUGUAAUUUUGAUUGCCAGUAUUACAGAAUAGUUUUUUCCGUUCUAUCCUGGGAGGAAGUAAUCCAUAACCUUGGGCAAUGGUGAGAAUUAAAUUCCUUAAGGACACACAAGUAACUUGUGGGCUCAGAAUUAUUUUACAAUUUGUUUAUUGAAUUAUCGUUUCUUUUUCUUCUGAUUUUCUGGUUUCGAACAAAGAUUAAUAGAAAAUACAUAGAUUGGUUUUGUAAAGAUAUAGGUAGUUGAAGAAGUCGAACGAAGUGCUUGCAGCAACAAGUUUGAUAUUUCGGC
rnacentral:lncRNA from 1 species